GACGAACGCUGGCGGCGUGCUUAACACAUGCAAGUCGAACGGAAAGGCCCUGCUUUUGUGGGGUGCUCGAGUGGCGAACGGGUGAGUAACACGUGAGUAACCUGCCCUUGACUUUGGGAUAACUUCAGGAAACUGGGGCUAAUACCGGAUAGGAGCUCCUGCUGCAUGGUGGGGGUUGGAAAGUUUCGGCGGUUGGGGAUGGACUCGCGGCUUACCAGCUUGUUGGUGGGGUAGUGGCUUACCAAGGCUUUGACGGGUAGCCGGCCUGAGAGGGUGACCGGCCACAUUGGGAAUGAGAUACGGCCCAGAAUCCUACGGGAGGCAGCAGUGGGGAAUAUUGCACAAUGGGUGGAAGCCUGAUGCAGCAAAGCCGGGGGAGGGAAGAAGGCCUUCGGGUUGUAAACCGCUUUCGCCUGGGAGGAAGAGGGAGUGACGGAAAAGGGUAAAGAAGCAACGGCUAACUACGU
rnacentral:rRNA from 1 species